rnacentral:tRNA from 1 species
GGCCCCAUCGUCUAGAGGCCUAGGACACCGCCCUCUCACGGCGGAGACGGGGGUUCGAAACCCCCUGGGGCUACCA